rnacentral:rRNA from 1 species
CAAUAGCGUAUAUUAAAGUUGUUGCAGUUAAAAAGCUCGUAGUUGGAUUUCUGGUCGGAGCGACCGGUCGGCGUCCUUUGUGGCGUGUGCACUGUUGUCGGCUCCGUCCAUCCUAGUGGGAAGGCGUGUUGGCAUUCAUUUGUCGGCGCGUGGCCCCGCUACGUUUACUGUGAAAAAAUUAGAGUGUUUAAAGCAGGCGUUCGCUGUGAAUACAUUAGCAUGGAAUAAUGAGAUAGGACUUUGGUACUAUUUUGUUGGUUUGCGCACCAAGGUAAUGAUUAAUAGGGAUAGUUGGGGGUAUUCAUAUUCAAUUGUCAGAGGUGAAAUUCUUGGAUUUAUGGAAGAUGAACUUAUGCGAANGNAUUUACNAAGGAUGUUUNCAUUA